rnacentral:rRNA from 1 species
GAUGAACGCUGGCGGCGUGCUUAACACAUGCAAGUCGAACGGUGAAGCCAAGCUUGCUUGGUGGAUCAGUGGCGAACGGGUGAGUAACACGUGAGCAACCUGCCCUGGACUCUGGGAUAAGCGCUGGAAACGGCGUCUAAUACUGGAUAUGAGACGUGAUCGCAUGGUCGUGUUUGGAAAGAUUUUUCGGUCUGGGAUGGGCUCGCGGCCUAUCAGCUUGUUGGUGAGGUAAUGGCUCACCAAGGCGUCGACGGGUAGCCGGCCUGAGAGGGUGACCAGCCACACUGGGACUGAGACACGGCCCAGACUCCUACGGGAGGCAGCAGUGGGGAAUAUUGCACAAUGGGCGGAAGCCUGAUGCAGCAACGCCGCGUGAGGGAUGACGGCCUUCGGGUUGUAAACCUCUUUUAGCAGGGAAGAAGCGAAAGUGACGGUACCUGCAGAAAAAGCGCCGGCUAACUACGUGCCAGCAGCCGCCAGUAACAC